rnacentral:misc_RNA from 1 species
GAUGAAGAACGUAGCGAAAUGCGAUAAGUAAUGCGAAUUGCAGAAUUCAGUGAAUCAUCGAAUCUUUGAACGCACAUUGCGCCCGCUAGUAUUCUGGCGGGCAUGCCUGUCUGAGCGUCAUUUCAACCCUCGCCCCCGGCUUUUGCUGGGAGCGGUGUUGGGGAUCGGCCGCCCGUCACUGGGAGGCCGGCCUCGAAAUAGAGUGGCGACCACGCCGUGUGCUCCUCUGCGUAGUAGUAAAUCACCUCGCAGGCGGACAGCGGUGCGGCCUGCCGUAAAACCCCCAACUCUUUCUGGUUGACCUCAGAUCAGGUAGGAAUACCCGCUGAACUUAAGCAUAUCAAUAAGCGGAGGA